rnacentral:rRNA from 1 species
UACGAAGGGGGCUAGCGUUGCUCGGAAUCACUGGGCGUAAAGCGCACGUAGGCGGGUUAUUAAGUCAGAGGUGAAAUCCUGGAGCUCAACUCCAGAACUGCCUUUGAUACUGAUAGUCUUGAGUAUGGGAGAGGUGAGUGGAACUGCGAGUGUAGAGGUGAAAUUCGUAGAUAUUCGCAAGAACACCAGUGGCGAAGGCGGCUCACUGGCCCGAUACUGACGCUGAGGCACGAAAGCGUGGGGAGCAAACAGG